GACGAACGCUGGCGGCGUGCUUAACACAUGCAAGUCGAACGGAAAGGCCCUGCUUUUGUGGGGUGCUCGAGUGGCGAACGGGUGAGUAACACGUGAGUAACCUGCCCUUGACUUUGGGAUAACUUCAGGAAACUGGGGCUAAUACCGGAUAGGAGCUCCUGCUGCAUGGUGGGGGUUGGAAAGUUUCGGCGGUUGGGGAUGGACUCGCGGCUUAUCAGCUUGUUGGUGGGGUAGUGGCUACCACGGCUUUGACGGGUAGCCGGCCUGAGAGGGUGACCGGCCACAUUGGGACUAAGAUACGGACCAGACUCGAACGGGAGGCAGCAGUGGGGAAUAUUGCACAAUGGGCGGAAGCCUGAUGCAGCAACGCCGCGUGCGGGAUGACGGCCUUCGGGUUGUGAACCGCUUUCGCCUGUGACGAAGCGUGAGUGACGGUAAUGGGUGAAGAAGCACCGGCUAACUACGUG
rnacentral:rRNA from 1 species